rnacentral:rRNA from 1 species
AAGUCGUAACAAGGUCUCCGUUGGUGAACCAGCGGAGGGAUCAUUACCGAGUUUACAACUCCCAAACCCCUGUGAGCAUACCUUACUGUUGCCUCGGCGGAUCAGCCCGCUCCCGGUAAAACGGGACGGCCCGCCAGAGGACCCCUAAACUCUGUUUCUAUAUGUAACUUCUGGGUAAAACCAUAAAUAAAUCAAAACUUUCAACAACGGAUCUCUUGGUUCUGGCAUCGAUGAAGAACGCAGCAAAAUGCGAUAAGUAAUGUGAAUUGCAGAAUUCAGUGAAUCAUCGAAUCUUUGAACGCACAUUGCGCCCGCCAGUAUUCUGGCGGGCAUGCCUGUUCGAGCGUCAUUUCAACCCUCAAGCCCUCGGGUUUGGUGUUGGGGAUCGGCGAGCCUUUCUGGCAAGCCGGCCCCGAAAUCUAGUGGCGGUCUCGCUGCAGCCUCCAUUGCGUAGUAGUAAAACCCUCGCAACUGGAACGCGGCGCGGCCAAGCCGUUAAACCCCCAACUUCUGAAUGUUGACCUCGGAUCAGGUAGGAAUACCCGCUGAACUUA